AUGAAUUGUUUAAGUUGGAACAGUCGGGGUGUUGGGAAUAAACCGACAGUUCGGGAUUUGGUGGCUUUGGCUAGGGCUACUGAAUCAAAGAUUGUGUUCCUGUGUGAGACUAGACAAAGUGCAGAAAAAGUCCGUCGUCUUCAUGCUAGAUUGGGUCUUAGAGGUUUUGCUGGUGUCGACAGUGUUGGGCUUAGUGGGGGUCUUGCUUUGUUUUGGUGUGAUCAGAUGUACGUGGAUGUUAAAGAUUCGAAUGAAAGAUAUAUUGAUGCGUAUGUGCGUGUGUCCCCCAGUGCUCCGAUGUGGCGUUUAACUUGUGUUUAUGGCGAACCACGUACGGAAAACCGUCAUCGUAUGUGGGCAACAAUGCAAAAUCUGAAAGUGUAG
rnacentral:rRNA from 1 species